UAAAGUUUGGUGAAAGGUGUUCAAUGACCC
rnacentral:piRNA from 1 species